GAUGAACGUUGGCGGUGUGCCUAAUACAUGCAAGUCGAACGGAGUUAAUAGCAAUAUUGACUUAGUGGCGAACGGGUGAGUAACGCGUUGGUGAUCUGCCUUGAAGUGUGGAAUAACGCUCCGAAAGGAGCGCUAAUACCGCAUGUGCUCUCAAUUUUUAGAAACUUGAGAGGAAAGGACUUAUUCGCUUCGAGAGGAGCCUGCGUCCCAUCAGCUGGUUGGUAGGGUAAAGGCCUACCAAGGCAAUGACGGGUAGGGACCUGAGAGGGUGGCCCCCCACAAUGGAACUGAAACACGGUCCAUACACCUACGGGUGGCAGCAGUAGGGAAUAUUAGAAAUGGACGAAAGUCUGAUCUAGCAACACCGCGUGUGCGAAAGAAGGCCUUCGGGUCGUAAAGCACUUUUUGGAAGGAAUAGGAAGGAAUGUACUUCCAGAAUAAGUCUCGGCUAACUACGUG
rnacentral:rRNA from 1 species